CAGCCGCCGCGGUAAUACGUAGGUGGCAAGCGUUGUCCGGAAUUAUUGGGCGUGAAGGGCUCGCAGGCGGUUUCUUAAGUCUGAUGUGAAAGCCCCCGGCUCAACCGGGGAGGGUCAUUGGAAACUGGGAAACUUGAGUGCAGAAGAGGAGAGUGGAAUUCCACGUGUAGCGGUGAAAUGCGUAGAGAUGUGGAGGAACACCAGUGGCGAAGGCGACUCUCUGGUCUGUAACUGACGCUGAGGAGCGAAAGCGUGGGGAGCGAACAGGAUUAGAUACCCCAGUAGUCCCUGUCUCUUAUAU
rnacentral:rRNA from 1 species